rnacentral:rRNA from 1 species
UGAUGUGAACGCCCCCGGCUCAGCCGGGGAGGGUCAUUGGAAACUGGGAGACUUGAGUGCAGAAGAGGAGAGUGGAAUUCCAUGUGUAGCGGUGAAAUGCGUAGAUAUAUGGAGGAACACCAGUGGCGAAGGCGACGGUCUGGCCUGUAACUGACGCUCAUUCCCGAAAGCGUGGGGAGCAAAUAGGAUUAGAUACCCUAGUAGUCCACGCCGUAAACGAUGAGUACUAAGUGUUGGGAGUCAAAUUUCAGUGCUGCAGUUAACGCAAUAAGUACUCCGCCUGAGUAGUACGUUCGCAAGAAUGAAACUCAAAGGAAUUGACGGGGGCCCGCACAAGCGGUGGAGCAUGUGGUUUAAUUCGAAGCAACGCGAAGAACCUUACCAGGUCUUGACAUCCGGAUAAAGACCUCAGAGAUGAGGGGAUAGAUAUAUCCGAGACAGGUGGUGCAUGGUUGUCGUCAGCUCGUGUCGUGAGAUGUUGGGUUAAGUCCCGCAACGAGCGCAACCCUUAUCUUUAGUAGCCAGCAGUAAGAUGGGCACUCUAGAGAGACUGCCGGGGAUAACCCGGAGGAAGGUGGGGAUGACGUCAAAUCAUCAUGCCCCUUAUGAGCAGGGCUACACACGUGCUACAAUGGCGUAAACAAAGGGAAGCGAGACCGCGAGGUGGAGCAAAUCCCAAAAAUAACGUCUCAGUUCGGAUUGUAGUCUGCAACUCGACUACAUGAAGCUGGAAUCGCUAGUAAUCGCAGAUCAGAAUGCUGCGGUGAAUACGUUCCC